UACGGGGGGGGGCAAGCGUUGUUCGGAAUUACUGGGCGUAAAGGGCUCGUAGGCGGCCAACUAAGUCCGACGUGAAAUCCCCAGGCUUAACCUGGGAACUGCGUCGGAUACUGGAUGGCUUGAAUCCGGGAGAGGGAUGCGGAAUUCCAGGUGUAGCGGUGAAAUGCGUAGAUAUCUGGAGGAAUACCGGUGGCGAAGGCGGCAUCCUGGACCGGCAUUGACGCUGAAGCGCGAAAGCUAGGGGAGCAAACGGG
rnacentral:rRNA from 1 species